UAAUCAAUGGCAUUUCCAUUCUCCUAGCAGACCACCCUUGAGGCUUUGUUCUUACAGAAGCCAGGUUGAAGCUUCCCAGCACCCAAGUAGCCCCAUUCAAUGGGAAAUUCCAAACCAAGGCCUCCAAGAAGGAAAAGAGCAUAAAUUCCAGAGACUCCAAACCUUGAAUUCAACGAAAACCAACCCCCAAGUAAAGGAGAAGAUGAUCAAGAUGGCUGGAGUCUGAACCUAGUCAACUGCUAGGAUGCAAACACACUGGUUCUGACUCUGCUCCCCCAAAUAUGAAUUAGGUACUGCUGUGUGCCAGACAUGCAACCAGGAGCUAGAGAUGCAAAAGGUCAUUGAGGAGUCCUGGCCCGGGAAGCCUACAGUCUGAGCUCACCUCUACACCCUGACCCUUUUAGGAAAUAGGCUGUUUCCCAAACUUCUGUUGUUGUGGUCCCAGUGUCAGAAUUCAUGUGUGUAAACAGGGAUUUGGUCCCAUUAAUGUUGUGAAGAAAAGGCAGUAAUGAUUAAAAAAUAAAAAUAAAAAUGUGAGAAGACAGGC
rnacentral:lncRNA from 1 species